AGGGUUUGAUCAUGGCUCAGAUUGAACGCUGGCGGCAUGCUUUACACAUGCAAGUCGAACGGUAACAGGUCUUCGGAUGCUGACGAGUGGCGAACGGGUGAGUAAUACAUCGGAACGUGCCUAGUAGUGGGGGAUAACUACUCGAAAGAGUAGCUAAUACCGCAUGAGAUCUACGGAUGAAAGCAGGGGACCUUCGGGCCUUGUGCUACUAGAGCGGCUGAUGGCAGAUUAGGUAGUUGGUGGGGUAAAGGCUUACCAAGCCUGCGAUCUGUAGCUGGUCUGAGAGGACGACCAGCCACACUGGGACUGAGACACGGCCCAGACUCCUACGGGAAGCAGCAGUGGGGAAUUUUGGACAAUGGGCGAAAGCCUGAUCCAGCAAUGCCGCGUGCAGGAUGAAGGCUCUCGGGUUGUAAACUGCUUUUGUACGGAACGAAAAAGCUCCUUCUAAUACAGGGGGCCCAUGACGGUACCGUAAGAAUAAGCACCGGCUAACUACGUGCCAGCCGCCGCGGUAAUAC
rnacentral:rRNA from 1 species